rnacentral:rRNA from 1 species
CCUACGGGAGGCAGCAGUGAGGAAUAUUGGUCAAUGGACGAGAGUCUGAACCAGCCAAGUAGCGUGAAGGAUGACUGCCCUAUGGGUUGUAAACUUCUUUUAUAUGGGAAUAAAAUGUUCCACGUGUGGGAUUUUGUAGGUACCAUAUGAAUAAGGAUCGGCUAAUUCCGUGCCAGCAGCCGCGGUAAUACGGAGGAUCCGGGCGUUAUCCGGAUUUAUUGGGUUUAAAGGGAGCGUAGGUGGAUUGUUAAGCCAGUCGUGAAAGUUUGCGGCUCAACCGUGAAAUUGCAGUUGAAACUGGCAGUCGUGAGUGCAGUAAAGGUAGGCGGAAUUCGUGGUGUAGCGGUGAAAUGCUUAGAUAUCACGAAGAACUCCGAUUGCGAAGGCAGUUCACUGGACUGCAACUGACACUGAGGCUCGAAAGUGCGGGUAUCAAACAGGAUUAGAUACCCGUGUAGUC